UUGGAGGGCAAGUCUGGUGCCAGCAGCCGCGGUAAUUCCAGCUCCAAUAGCGUAUAUUAAAGUUGUUGCAGUUAGAAAGCUCGUAGUUGAAUUUCGGGAUUAGUACGUCGGUCGUGCCUUAGGUACGUACUGGUGUUACUGGUUCCUACCUUCUGACGAACCAUCAUGUCAUUAAUUUGGUGUGGUGGGGAAUCAGGACUGUUACUUUGAAAAAAUUAGAGUGUUUAAAGCAGGCUCGCGCUUGAAUACAUUAGCAUGGAAUAAUGAAAUAGGACGUUGAUCCUAUUUUGUUGGUUUCUAGGAUUGACGUAAUGAUUAAUAGGGAUAGUUGGGGGCAUUAGUAUUCAAUUGUCAGAGGUGAAAUUCUUGGAUUUAUUGAAGACUAACUACUGCGAAAGCAUUUGCCAAGGAUGUUUUCAUUAAUCAAGAACGAAAGUUAGGGAUCGAAGACGAUCAGAUACCGUCGUAGUCUUAACCAUAAGCUAUGCCGACUAGGGAUCGGAUGAUGUUAUUUUUAAUGACUCAUUCGGCACCUUACGGGAAAC
rnacentral:rRNA from 1 species